rnacentral:siRNA from 1 species
UCAGCAACAGGUGGAAAGUCA